UCUAUUUGGCUGCCUGAAAUGCUUUCUCUUCAUUCAAAGAGCGGUUGCUGGUCUCCGCCCCUCCGUCUUUCCUUCCUCCUCCCAGUGGCUUCCCUGUUCUUGUUAUCCUGGCUCUCCCGGCUUUUUUGAUUCCCAUCCCGGCUCUGAGGGAAGAAGGACAGGUCUGGAGCACCUGUGAGGCCCAAGCCUGGGCCCCCCACAACAGAUGAUGCAGUCCCCCAACCCCAAGAGCCCCAGAUCAGAGGCCCUGAGCAGAAGCUGUGGUAGGUGAAGUGAAUGCUCAGUCUGGGUGUUAUCUGGGGAGGGGCCUGGGUCUCUGGGACACUCUGACGAGAUGCGCUCCACUGGAAUCUCAUCAUAACCAAGCACCGAUUGGUGGCCUUUUCCUCUGAUGGCCCCAGAGCUCCUGCCUUCUGGCUACUGCUGUCUGUUGGGGAUGAGGUAUGUCAGACUUCCCUUUUUCCAGGUGUUGGCGAGAGUCGGGGCAGUGGGAAAAACACAUCUAUCAGGCAGUCCCAUCCCUGCACGGAGGAGCAGGGAUUGUGCCUCAGCCCCAGAGCCCUGCCCAGUGGGGACCACAUCAUGGACAGACAUGUUCCUGGGUGGCUCUGUGCAGUCACUGCCACCACAGGCUCCUGGGAGGCACCUAAGGCCCAUCGUGAGCCCCUGAAAUGACAGCACCUACCACAGUCAGCUGCCUUCAUGGAAGGCACUGAAUCUGCUGUCCUGGUGGGAUGGAAUUCCCCUUCUGUCUUUCCUGUUCAUCCUCCCCAGGAUCCAUGCCCUCUGUGUGAGGCCAUGGCAGGAUAUGUUGUGGGCAGCUGGAUUUCCGGCCCUCUCUGGUUGCCUUUGACCAGCAGGAAAGGGAUUUGGAGGCAGAUGCAGUGGGCCCUUCCCAAUUCAGACUGAGGAGGAAGUUUCUGCAGGGCAGGAAGGAGAAGCAAUGAAUAGCCACUGUCUAGACCCUCCCCCUGACUCCAUCAUCAAGGUGCUCCAGACAGGCCUGAGAUUCCCUUUUUUGGUCCUAGCCACACUACUCCUGGUGUGAGCCAGGCAGGCAGCCCAGCCAUCUCCUGGUGGCAGGAGAUGUCUUCCUGGCCGUAGCAGGAAGAGUCCCCAGGUUAUGGCCCUGUCCCUGUGCCAGGACCUGGGAUGGGGGUACACUCUGCUCUGGCCCCCCAGGAAAUGAGUUCCAAAGGACUCGGGCCUUUGGAGGAGAACUUGGUGGCUGUGCCUUUCACCUGGCAUUGCAGGAACAUGAACCCUGGUUCAACUUGUGCAAAAAAGCCAGACCCACUGUCCCCACCUCUCAGGCUGCACCACAUGCUCUGGUGGUGAGGGCCUGUUUCAUAGCCCUGCAUAACAGGAGGCUGCUCAGAGCAGAGCUGCAGAAAUACUAUGCGUCCCUUUGGAGUGGAAGGACCUGCGGCCAGGCCAGUGAGGAGCACAGAACAGGGGCAUGAGGCUGGGCUGAAGAGGAGCUGUUUGUCCCGCCUCCCUGGCUGGAGGAGGGCACAGUCCACAGGCUAUUUUUGGGAGCAAGUACUGGCUGGCCAGAAUAUGUCUGCACCUUCCCCCAGGAUAGCAGCACCAACAGAGGGGACCAUCUUAGUCCUGGGGAGUCAUGUGGAAUUGCAUCUACAAUAGACUGUGAACAGGGGCACCUGUCAAUUUACAUUUGUUGGACCUGGUUCUUUUCCCUCCCGGGCUUGCCCUGCAAAUCUUGUUAUGGGAUGGGGAUCAGAGAGUAGAGGGCUUAUCUUGAUUUUCAUGAGCUUAGUGUUAAUAGUAGUCACCCAGGUUGGAGGUUUUUAUCCCUUUCCAUGGCCCUAUACCCAAUGGCCCCACCCAUGAUAUUUUUCAAAGUCCAGUGAAGCAGUGGAGGGAGGAGUGAGGGGGAGGCGAAGAGAAAGACAGGACUCUGUUGGCAGAAGCCCUGCUGUCUUCCAAGACCCUGUGCAAGCUUCUGUGGAGUUCUUGUUGCUGAGAGCUGAGUCCUCUGCCUGGGGCAGGGGUGGGCGGGUUCUUGGCCAUCACGCUUCUGGAAUCCUGAAUCUUACUGUUCCACAGUCGCAGACCAGCCAGGCCCAGGACCUCAGAGCUGCUUGUGGGACCAUGGAGAGUCAUGCUUGCUUCCAGUCGUCACUGAGCCUGCUCUCAUUUUGCAGCUUCUGCUGUGCAAAUUUUUAAGUCUCUCAAACUCUCAUGGUGAAUUUUUUCUCUUCCUUUAGUGGCACCCAGAAGGGCACCCAGCAAUAUACCUCUGGCAUUUGAACCAGCUGGAUGUGGGAUGGAGGGUGUUUAGUGGGUCCUGGAGGGAGCUCAGGCCAGGCCAGGCCAGGGUUUAUCACUGUUAUUGAUGACACAGAUAACAGCCUUGCCCUGAAAGCUUUCACAGAGUUUAUCUCCUUUCUUGUUACUCUGAUAGGGCCGGGAUUGUCCACCCCCUGCUCAGUGAGCGCUAACAUUGAGAAUCCAACAAGAGUGCUGUAUUAAAUCAUAUCUCAGCCAGGCACUAUCGCUCACGCUUGUAAUUCCAGCAUUUUGGGAAGCCGAGGCGGGAGGCUCAUGUGAGCUCAGUUGAAGAUCCACCUGGACAGCACAGUGGGACCUUGUCUCUACAAACAAAACACAAAAACAAACAAACAAGCAAACAAAAAAUUAGCCAGGCAUGGUGAUGCAUGCCUGUAGUUCCACCUACUCAGGAGGCUGAGGUGGGAGACUCGUUUGAGCCCAGGAAGUCAAGACUGUAGUGAGCCAUGAUUGAUUGUGCUACCACACUCCAGCCUAGACGAUAGAGUAAGACUCUGUCUCCAAGCAAAAAACGAAAGAAAACAAAAAUCUCUCCCCUGUUGGAGACCUCUCAGAGUGCUGGGGAAGGGGGUCCGGAGUCCAUAGCCUCGGUUCUCCUCUCCCUUCCCUUGCUUCCUGGCUGUGUGAGGUUAGCUGGAUUAAAUUAUCUCAGGCUUAGUUUUAAAAGCCAAGAGUUGCAUGCUAGGCCCUGAAAAGGGUCAAUUACUAAAUGAUUAGGUCCACUAGAGUAAAAAAAAAAUUAUUCCCUGCUGAAAAAGUAUUUUAUAUUUCUACUUUACACUUUGCUCUGUUUUGGUUAAAUGUGUUAGAAAGGAACAUUUGUCCUUGUUAAAGAAAAUUGUCAGAAGAAAACAAAGUGGUUGAAAUGGAAGGAUGUCCUUGGAUUUGGAGUUCCAAUGAACGAACAUAAGCUCUGGAUGCACACUUCUAGUUGCGAGCACAGCUCUGGUGUUAAGUACAGGUGGAGAAAGGACUUCUAUUUCCUCACUGGAGUGACUGGACUAUUGUCUAGUCAACACUCUCUUCCUCAUGGCACCAUGUUUCCAGCCUCUGCUGCAGGCCACUGUGGCCCUGGGAUGGAGUUCUCCAUGGGGGAUGUGGGCGGAGGUGGCUGCUUUUAAAAUUAGCUGUGUCUUUCUUCACAUUCUCUCCUCUCAUUUGCUGGAUAGACAAAGAGGGCCUGGGGACCUCCGAGGCGUUCAGGGUGACAGGGCCACUAAGGAGGGAAAGCCUGAGUCCCUGAAGGUUUGUGUGGAGCGCUCUUUCCCCCAACCUAUGGUAGACUAGGACAAAGGAAUAAACAAACUUAUAGCUUAUUAGGUCACUGAACGCUAAGAGUUGUUUUCAUAGAUGUUAACUCAUCUUGGCCAAUAUUCCUAAAAACACAUUGAGGACAGGGACACUUAUUAGUGUUCCUUGUUUGCAGAGUCUAGCUGGUAACGGCACAAGGAUGUUUACAGAAUGAAUGAGUGAGGGACACAUGUGUCUUUACUUGGGGCAGCAUGGUUCUCUGCUUUUCUUUCCUUUUGUUUUCACAAGAUGAUGGAAGAAGAUAGUGCUGAGAUCAGACAGUGCUACGGUCUGAUGGUGUCCCCCCAAAAUUCAUAUGGUGAAAUUCUAACCCCCAAAGUGAUGGUGUUAGGAGGUAGUGCAUUUCGGAGGUGAUGAAGUCAUGAGGGUGAAGCCCUCAUGCAUGGGAUUAGUUCCCUUGUGAAAGAGGCCCUAGAGCUGCCUUACCCCCUCUAUCAUGUGAAGACACAGUGAGAAGUCAUGGUCGAUGAGGAAGGGGCCCUCACCAGUCACCCUUGCUGUGGGACUUUCUAGGCUCCAGAACUGAGAGAAAUAAAUUUCUGUCAUUUAUGAACCACCUGUCUAUGGUAUUUUGUAAUAGCCGCUGAAAUGGACUAAUGCAACAUUUUACGUAGAAAAAUGGGGACUUCCUAGUUCUUAGCAUCUUCUUACUCCUUUACAGGAGAAUAAAAUCAUUAAGAGUUAUUGAUGCCAGCACUGCCCUGGAGGGACCAAGGGAAAGGGACUUGUUUUCCUUGUAUUUACCUUUCUUUAAACCUGUCCUGUAGCUGCAUCAGAUGGUCAAAGUGGCAUCACCUUAACAGUUAUGCUUAAUUGUUUUAAUAAAUAAUCAUAUUUAAUAGGAAAAGAAUAAGGGAGUCAAAGAGUUUUCUAUAAUGAUGUCCUUUACUUGACUGUGUUCUUGGAAUCUCUGAUUGCUCAGAACUACAGACAAAGAUCACACCAGGAAAGAGCCUAGGUUAAAAUGAAAUUCCACAUUAGUGUUAAAUUUGCAAACUUGAAGUGAACACAAGCAUCGUGUAUUUUUAGUCUGUUCUUAUGCUGCUGAUAAAGACAUGCCCAAGACUAGGUAAUUUAUAAAGGAAAGUGGUUUAAUUGACUCAGAGUUCCACAUGGCUGGGGAAGCCUCACAAUUAUGGUGGAAGGUGAAGGAGGAGCAAAGUUACGUCUUGUAUGGCAGCAGGCAAGAUAGCAUGUGCAGGGGAACUCCCCUUAAUAAAACCAUCAGAUCUCGUGAGGCUUAGUCACCAUCACAGGAAUAGCAUGGGAAAGACCCGCCUCCAUGAUUCGAUUACCUCCCAUGAUUCGAUGUCCCUCUCAUGACAUUUGGGAAUCAUGAGAGUUACAAUUCAAGACGAGAUUUGUGGGGGGUCAUAGUGAAACCAUAUCACAUGUCAUUGAAUAUUUUGUGUAUUUCCAAAAGGGUUCUAAAUUGUCUCUCCACCAUGCAUAAAAAUGUAACUCCAGGUAUGUUCACCUCUGGGCUGCAUGAACCUGCUCAGAAUCAGACAGCCCAUGAACAUCCUCCAUGUUCAACUCCACAGAUGUCACAGUUGACUUUCAUUGACAGCCGACAACCACUAUGCUUUAUUGAAAAAAUGUAGGAGGAGAAACGUGCAGAAUGCCAUAUGGUACACAAGGACUGGAAUAUGAUUUUAGAGGCUGAGGUGUUUGAUAUUGGAACAUGCCAAGUAGAUUGUGGACUCCUUAAAUGACUUUAUUAUGGAUCUUCAUGUCAAAGGGGGAGUUUUAAAUGGAGAUGUCGAUAGGCUCAAUUAUUUCCAUGUGUUAUUACAUUUUCCUUUGUUGUAGACCUGGCUAUGUGCUGUGGUUGGCAUAUUUGUACCUACCUAAUCUUAAAUGGAUUUUACUAGAUUUAGUGGCUACAAACACCCAAUUUUCAUGAGUAGAUUAGGGGGCUCUUUGAAAAAUGGGGCUAAAAUCCUCUAAAGAUGGAAUCCAGACGAAUGCGUGUGUAUUUAUUUUGAGCUACCAGAACAAUCUUGGGCGUGUCUUUCUAUCUGUUCUGUGUACAGGCUUCGACUUAAAGUUUUUAAUGCACAGACACCAUGCCAUGGAUGUUGAGUCUGCAAGGACACAGCGGGAGCCCAGCGGUAGCAAGCUGCAUUUUCAUUCUGAAUGUCUAGGAGAUUAGAAUUUAAUGUAGCUCACAAGAGUUAAGGUUUUCUUCCAAAUCCUUUGACAUGUUGUGGAUAGUGGAUUCCAAGUUUAUGAUCACGUUUAUUAGCGCCUUCUGCUGAUUUUCCUGUGGGAGAAUGCUUUGCCCUUUCUGGUGGAUAGACUUGUUUUUCUGAAGCUUUGGGAGGCAGGGGUAGCGAUGAUGAUGUUGGAGAGGUUGCCUCGCCCCAACAUUUCCUCCUCCCUGUCUCCUCCCAAGAUGUGGGAGUCAUAAAACCCGAGUUAAACUGAGCAAAAAUGCAAAACCUCACUGCUCGAGGCAAGAUGCCUCAGAGCAGAGGCCCUGAGACGUCAUCGGGGUGGGCACCCACAUGGACUGAUUUCAGGGGUGAGUGUGGUGGGUCGUGGCUUUAAAACGUAGCCUGAAUUCUGUGAUUCUCCUCCAGUUGAGAGAUGGGGUCCCCUCCUCCAAACCCUUCACAGUUGGUAACUCCCUGACUCCACAGCAGCCGGGCACAGGGAGGGUGGGCUGAGGCCCAGCUUGGUGGCUCUGAUCUGGGAUCCUCUCUUUGGUUAAAGCCCCAUGCUGCUGGGAGGUCCAGGCUUCUCUCUGUCAUUAAGGGUAUAAAGGUCAGGUGGGAAGUUCUCAGAUAAGAGAAUGAAGAAACAGAGGAAGUCAGGUAGGCCUCCUUCUGCCUGUGCUUGGGGACAACACAGCCAGGCAGAGCCACAUGCGCCACAGCAUUUUCUGUUCCUGAGUGGCUCAGCUUCGGGAAGCCUCUUGUGUAAGGAGGGUGGUCUGCCAAAUAUCUUUUUCUUGGGAAUGUGUGACUCUGCAUUUGUGAUGCCAGCCUGGGGCCACUGCUGCUGUUGCAGGCUGUGAAACUCAGGAGUGGCUGCAGGGGCGGGGCUUUGGAGUUUCCUCUAAGAAAGAGGAAGGCGCCAAGUUCAGGGCUCUGGGUGGUCUCCAGCUCAGUGUCUGCUUCAUGGGCUAUGGUAAGACGGAGAGCAUGGCUGUCUGUUUGGAAGAAGGGAGCAAACUGUCCCCACAUGUGAGAGAUACCAGGAGGCUCAAUUCCAGUCACAGGGAAGUGACCUGUCAUAUCUCUGAGUCUGAGAAGAUGUCCAGCUGGGGACACACCAAGGCAGAGCUUGGGUGUGAGGUCAGAGCAGGAUGGACCGUGCUGUGUGAAUACAGGGAACGGAACUCUCGCUGGGUGAGGCUUCCUAAUAGAAGCACCGGGAGCACCCACUUUCUGUCGCUGGACCUUCCUUGUCUGUGCUGUGGAUUGUGGAUUCUGAGUUUAUGGGUCCCUCACACUGCAUCUUUGUGAGUGCAGUCGAUAGUGUGAAACUCUGUCUAGGUGGAGGAGUGGGGCUGGGGAGAGCUGGAGGGUCGGUUUUGGUAGAGUCAGCACUGGGGACUACCUUCUUUGCUGUGUGGGACCCUGUGCCCAGAGCAUCUCCUUGGAGCAAUCUUUUAACAAAGUUCUUUGUAUGGUGAGCUAGUCACUCCUUCCAAAAUGAGUCUGGCUGGACUUUUCCCUUCUCUGUCUAGGAACAGAGCACAUGUUCCUGCUGCGCUACCCACAUGUUACCAAAAAAAUCAAAGAAAGGUGGAGCUGAGUUAAUGACACUGACACCCAUGUGCUUGGGGCAAAGGCACGGAUGGCUGUCCCUGUCUUUGAGGUUCAAGUGAUUCUCCUGCCUCAGCUUCCCAAGUAGCUGGGAUUACAGGCACACACCACCACGCCUGGGCAAUUUUUGUAUUUUUAGUAGAGAUGCGGUUCCACCAUGUUGGUCUGGCUGGUAAGUUGACAGUUUUUAAAGCAUAUUGAUAUAUUUAACCCAACUGGCAUCUGCUUUCAUGUACAUCUUGAGGGUGUGGGGUUUUUGGGGCAGCUCUUUUCAACCUGCUGAAUCCCUUGUAAUUGGGACACCACUGGCCUCGAUGGAACCACAUCCCUUGCCUCACCCCACGUGGCCACUGGCUGUGAUGCCCACUCCUUUCUCACAGCUCCUUCCUGGGCUUCAGCGGAGGCCCCCAACCCUAAUUUCCAUCCUUCUCCUGCAACUGCUCCUUCCAGAAUCCUCCCUGGCCCCCUCCUGCCACAUUACCCUUCCUCCAGCCUAGCAGGUGAGACCUCCCCCAGGAGCCCCAGAGCUGAUUCCAUGCCUCUGUCUCCUGCCCACCACCGUGUGGUCUGUGUUCUACUGGCUAGCCCCCUGCCAGUGCCCCCAGACCUUCCCUCUCUGGACACCUGCCUUUUUCUCCUCCCACCGCUGACAGACCCCACGCACUUCUGUCUUCUCCUCUACUCCCAUUGUGAUAGGUCCCCUCCACUCUGGCCAUGUGGGUGACCAAGCAGAUCCCUCCUCCCAGCCUAGGCCUUGUUGCCAGUGACCUUGCAGCUUCCUCCUACCCAAGGACUCUUGCUCCAGACUUCGGAGUUGCCUGGGCUUCCCGCAGCCCGACACCUCAUAGCACCAUGGCUUUGCAGGGGUCAUUUCUUCUGUGUAGAAUUCUUCCUCAAGCUCCCAGUCUGGCAAAUCCCUAUUUCCUUGACAGCCCAGUUUAAUCCACACCCUCUGCAGCAUCCCCUGACCUGCCAAGUGACUGGACCUUCCUCCCUGCUGCCUCAUAAUCCGGCAGAGCCUGUGCAAGUCGAGCUUGGUCUGAGACUCUGGCAUGCCAGCUCACUGUUGAUUGUCAAUGAAACCUUGAGCUCCUGGAGGCCAGAGACCCAAUCCUCUUGCCCUUGGCCCCAGGUGGCAGGGCCUUGAUGAGAAUAAACCUUUGAAACGGAUGGUCUUGGAAAGCAAGGAGGACAGGGGCUGUCCUUGUAUAGGUCAGGCGGGACUUGGCAGCAUGAGUAAGUAGCCAGCCACCCCAGGCACUGUUGCGGGAACUCAGGCCUGUGCUGCCCUGUGUGUCCUCUCAGCUGCAGAGCUGCAACCAGGAGGGUCCAUGGCUGGAAGCCUGCCCAGCUUGCUGGAAACUUCUUUUUUAAAGCAUGCAUUUUGUUCUUCAAAUUCCAAAGCCUCACCCAGCCCUGUAAAAAUGAUGGCUCCUAGAACUACCCUGCUAUGCAAAAGGCACCUGGCACCCCUCAGGGGCAGCGAUGGCUGCGAAGACAUAUUGGGACUGGGAUCUCCUGCAGGGUUGGGCAGGCCCUGCCUGUGCGUGCAUACACACCGCUGGAUGCUUUCCCUAGGCCCCUGGAGUGAAAGUGAUGUUGCCCCUCCACUGCCUUCAGCAAGAGGUUUUAAUUUCCAGGUCCUGAGAGCAUGGAGUCACCCGGAGUGCUGGCUGCUGGGUGGAAGCACACACUCUGACCUGGUCAGAGCUCAGGUCUGGUCACAGGCUGGGUCACUUUGGACUUUUGUCUUCUCAGCAUGGAGUGACUGAGUCGGCCCAGCUGCUUUUCAGCCUCAGAGGCUGGCUAGCGGUGGGGUGCAGACCCCGCCUCUGAGGAGAAGAGCUUAGCUGUCACAUCUCUAACAGUCCAUCUGCAUGACAGGCAGUCGUCUCCCCACCGGACUUCCUAGAAAUCUGGGUUAGCAAAGCAUCAAUAUGUAAGUUGCCACCACUUCCUUCCUCUUGGGCAGCCACCAUGAACUCACCACAGGCUGUGUCUGAACAUGACAUCAGAAUCCUUCCCAACACUUGAGAACUGUGUGCUGCCGGAAGGCGCCCGUCCAUAGCUUGAGGGAUAACACUGACCACGUCCACAGUGACCAUCACAGAUGGCGACACCAGGGUCAGGGGCUCCAUUGGGGAUUCUAGUUCAGCUCUUUUGUUUGCAGGAUGACAUGGUUUGGAUCUGUCUCUCCACCCAAAUCUCGUGUCACAUUGUAAUCCCCAGUGUUGAAGGUGGGACCUGGUAAGAGGUAAUUGGAUCACGGGCAGGACUUCCUUCUUGGUGCUGUUCUUACGAUAGUGCGUGCUGGCAAGGUCUAGUUGACUAAAACUGUGUAACACCUGCCCCACCCUUUCUUCCUCCUGCUCACUCCCGUCCUUGCCUUCUGCCUUGACUGAAAGCUUCCUGAGGCCUCCCCAUGCUUCCUGUGCAGCCUGUGGAACCAUGAACAAAUUCAACCUCUUCUCUAUCCAUUAUCCAGUCUCAGGUGUUUCUUUAUAGCAGUGUGAGAACAAACUAAUUCAGAGGAUGACACAGAAGCACAGAGAAGAAUCUCAUACUCUUCUGACCAAGCUGAGCGAGACUUUGGUUCCAAUAAUGAAGACGUGCAGUUCCUAUAAUGAGGACAGAGGAUCUCCUUGAAUGGAAAGCAGUUUUUUGUCACCAGAAUCUCAGAAACAGUACCAGGGAUCUAUUAAAGCCUCAGUAGGUACUCAUUGAAAUAAAAAAAAAAAACAAUUAAAUGCCCGUCUUUGCUAAUAAUGCCUCUUUGCCCAAGCACAUUAGCCUGAGCGUGAGUCCUGCAUGUAUUGAGGUGUAUGUGAAAGUGCAUUUGCACAUCAGCAUGUUCCUACGGUAAAAACCAGGUAGUGCUGCUUUGACAAGGUUGGACGCAGCAGAGAGGCAGCGCCCGUGCUGUGUCACUGCUGUAACAGCUUAGUGCUGCUGGAGAUAUGGAGAGCUCACAGAGGGGACUGGAUGUGAAAUAGUGACUCAGGUCCCGGUGAUGUUGCUUCACACACACGACCUCUCCCCACCAUGUAGACACUGAGAACAACCAUCAUUUUAUUGUUAACAGCUAAUUGUGUGGGUCAGGGAUUUGAACAGUCGGUCGGUCCCUGCCCCACAGAGCCAGUGGAGGUUACCUGUGAUACCACAUCUGGCAGGUGGAUUUUUCUGGGAAGUCCAAGACAGCUUCACUCCCAUGCUGGGGCCUUUAUGAGGGUGGCCAAGAGGCUGAGCUUGGCAGGGGCCGUAGAUCAGAGCAUCACACAUGUCUCCAUUUUGAUUGUCUUGGGGUCUGUGGACUUCCAGAGGGAGAAGGUUGCAAGGGAGGAGGUGGAAGCUGCCAGGCUUCAUGAGCCUCCAGUGUGCGUCUCUCCUGGUAUAACCCCUGGAAAAGUCAAUGGGGCUAGACCAGGUUCAUGGGGCUAGGAACCAGCACUACUUCUCCAUGGGAGCAGGAGCCGAGGUUUUGCAGCCACCCUUCAUCUGUGCAGUGACGGGCCUUGAGAUGAGUGCAGCGUGCAUGGAGAAGGGAGAACCAGCCCUCCCCGACGAGGAGGCUGUGCUGAGCCUGCGUGCUUGCUUCUCUGCCAGGCUUCUCCACAUUGCUCCAUUGCUUCUCUGCCAGCUCUGUGCCCCUAGAGGCUGGCGCUUAGCAACAGCAUCUUCUUCUCCCUAACUCCUCACCCCUGCCCCUCACCCUUGUGGACACAUCCCUUCGUGAAUCCGUCUUCUGUUAACCCUGUGCCUGUGUCCUCUGUUCUCAACGUGGGCCUGACCCUGAUGGCACAUUCAAAAAGAAUUAAAUAGUUCGUAAUUUUACAAUAAAAAAGAUGACAAAAAUUGUAUGAUCAAUUAGUAAUAAAAUGCCACAUGCUGAAAAGUAACUUGGAAGAUUUUCCUUCUUUGGAAUGCCUAAAAGGUUAUCAAGUCCCUUUCGGAAUUGACGACUAUGCAGAAGUGUUUGCUCCAUCUUACAAAUUCCAGGCCCAGGAUAACCCCUGAUCUCCAGCCGGAGCAUCACACAUCUGUCCUGCUGCCCAGGUAGCAUGAGGCUCUCGGCUCGGCUUGUCUUCUUGGUGCAUUGGGCACUCUCCAUCCACCUUGGGAAGCAUGGCACAGGGUGUGGCCAGCAGGUGGUAGCUUCUGUAUCAGAUGCUCCACAUGUGCGAUGUGCUCCCUCUCCUCUCAAGAUGCCUGCUCUGUGCAGAAAGAGAUUCCACUAGGUAGCCUUGAGAAAAGGAGACUUCAGCAUACUGUUGGUGGUUAAUAAACGCCAGCUCCCCUCUGUGAUCCUGUUGCUUCAGGAGGGUGGGUGAGAGGAUCCAGGCUCACGGGGCUUGCACUCAUAUUUUCUUGAAGAAAAACACAGAAUUCUGAGUCCCAUGUUGGGUAUGGGUGGUGAGGGUGGUGAGGCUGAGUGCACGCUGGGUUCAGGGAGGGCUUGAGGUGCCCAGGUUCCAUCAUGCACUGAUGUCACAGAGGGUGGCACUGAUGCUUCUGAUUUGAUCCUCAUGGCAGCCUGCCAGCAGGGUCAUGUGGCUGUGGCACCUCAAGUGUAUAGUGAGGACAUGGAGAUGGUGUGUUAUGUCUUGUGCGCAGAGCCCGUGGCUGGCCCUGGAGAGAUGAAUGUGGUCUGGAGCUCCAAUCCCUAAGAAAACAGAAGCAGCUGACUCUGUGCGAAGAGGCCAUCUGGAAGCCACCCUCAGGGGCCGAACGCUCCCAAGGUGCCGAGCUGAGCUACAGACACCCAGGCCUGAAAGCCCUUCCUCCGGAGCGGACCGUCCAGAUUUGGAACCACUGCCAUGGACAAUUAAGCAAAGAAAGAGGUCCAGAUGAUGCGCUGCAGGAGAACAGAGCUGGCCCAGGAACACCCCACUUCUGCUCCUUCGUCCCUGCUGCAGAGACCUGGGAAGGCCCUGCCUGGCACACAGCACACUGGGGCGGCCCCACUGCAGCAUCUGGGCUGCCAUACCCAAGGUGCUUCCCAGCCCGAGAGGCUCCUAGCAGCUCUGACACCUUCUGUUGUCAUGUCACCUGGCCCCUCACCAUCACUGCCCUCACCUCUCCUGGGUGGGUAUGUCCAUAUCAUUCCUGGCCUCAUUUAUUUAUCUAGUUUUGAGACAAGGUCUUGCUUUUCACUCAGGCUGCAGUGCAGUGGCACCACCUUGGCUUACUGCUACCUCUGCCUCCCGGGGCUCCAGUGAUCUUCCCACCUCAGCCUCCUGAAUAGCUGGGACCACAGGUGCACAGCACCAUGACCAGCUAGUUUUUUGCACUUUUGGUAGAGACAGGGUUUCUCCAUGUUGUCUGUGGUUAGUCUCCAACUCCCGAGAUCAACUGAUCUGCUCACCUCAGCCUCCCAAAGUGCUGGGAUUAAAGGCAUGCGCCGCUGCACCCGGCCUCAUCUAAAGAUGGGGAAAACCAGAUCCUGAGAAAUUUCCUCACUGUUGACGAUAGCUGCCAGCAGACACCAGAUUUGGGCUCUGAGUUAGCAAGCUCUGGCCAUGUGCUUCAGUACGAGCCCAGAAAACAUCCCCAGAGUUGUUUUUAGAACGAGUUCUUCUUACUUACCCUUAGUAGUUCCCACGAAAGCCUAGUGUUACUGUUUUAAAUACUGAGUUCAUGAACCAAAGAUUGGGGCUCUCACUGGUUCAUCAGCUUGUUUCGUGUUUGGAAGGAGACCCAUAUUUAUGCCAGAAUGUGGCAUUUCUGUCUGUGUACUUACUACUCUUAGCUGGGAAGUGGUUUGAAUAAAGCUAGAAAAGCCAGCAUGUUUAGUUAUGAAUCCUGGUUUGCAAAGGUGCUGACUUUGGUUGUACACAGCGACCCAUAGCUUUGGCUAAGUUUAGCUUUACCUAACCUUCCCACACAGCUGUGGUCUUCUCUGUGGGGCCUACACAGAGGAACACCCCAGAAGAGGAGCAAAAGUGGGUUGGUUGAUUACCGACAGGGCAGGGGCACCACAUCCCAUUUUUAUACUCACAUUCUGGAAGUCAAGGGGCCUCUAGAAUGAAGGUGUUCAGAACUAAGCAAAGUGGGCAAGAAAUGAGAAAAAAGGUGCAAGGUGCUGGGGUCACUGGGGAAGGCGGAGGUUUCCUGGUUCAGAACCCAGUCAUCCAAGUGAAACUCUUUAGAAUUUAAAACACGUGGACACAGAGUUGAUGGUUAAUUUACAGGUUUUGGCCAACAUGUGAGGUACUCUCCAGUACUUUUGAGUUGGCCUGGGGCCCAUGCGGCUGGCUGGGCAAGGCUGGCGUGUCAGAGGCAGAGCUAACCAGCUGCCUUCUUGGACCCCCCAGGCACUCAGAACAGGGCUGACCUUUUUUGUUUGUGGCCUGGGUUUUGUGCUUCUGCACAGGUUUGGUCACACAGUCCAGGGAUUGACAAGGGAGACUCGGAGGGUCCACCAAAGGCCCUACGCCUGUGCUGAGGAUGGAGCUUAGGAAUCAUGGCUGGGCAUGGACAGCGGCAAAGGGCUUUCCCCUGCCUUGCCUCACUGUAGGGCUGGGUUCUGCUGCCGGUGUCAGUGCUCACCGUGGGAGUGGGUCUUAGAGGGGCCUGCUUGAAAUUCGUGGUGGCAUUUUUUGGUUAAAACAAUGACCAUAGGGACUACUGCCUUUGUGGUCCAGGGCUGAGGACACUAGAGGUUGUACAAGGCAGAGAAAGCCCCACACAGACAGACGGCACUGUGGCUGUCCUCGCUCCAUUGGCCGUUCAUCUGGGUGGCAGAUCUGUGUUUGGGGGUUGGUUUGGUCCCAUGCCUGUGUUUUGUCAGUACCACGUGCUUCUUCAUGGCUCUAGUAGACACUGGAUUUCCCAGGGCUGCAGCUAUGGCAGGGACUAAGGGAGGAUCCAAGCUUUGCCAAGCUUUGUUCAUAAUUUCAGAGAACCACAGCCCCAGUGAACGCUGGAAUCACCAAAGCAAGGCCCACCAUCUGGCGGAAUACUCAGAAAUUUUACCUGAAUGCACGCAUGUGAAGACUUGAUUUGUCAUCUGGGGUAGUUGUACCUAAACAUUUACUAUCAAAAUAGAUGUUAUUGUUUAUUAUAUCUAUUUUAGUUUUCUUUUAUAUUACUAUGAAAGCAUUACAUAUGUGAUCUAUCUGUUUACCUAUCUAUCAUCUAUCUAUUUAACUAUCACCUAUCUGUCAUCUAUCUAUCUGUAUCAUCUAUAUUUCUCUAUCAUCUCUCUAUCCAUCAUCUAUCUAUCACAUUAUAGAUACAUCAUAUUAUCCAAACAUUUCAUUUCGGGUUAGUACAGAGAAUGUUAAAAUUAUUCAUGAUCAAAGGGGCUGUUUGAUUCCAGAAUUCCUAUAAAAUUGCUGAUGGAAUGGCCCUACAGCCCGGCUUCCCUCCACAGAGCCCCCACCUUUGGAAAGAUGUUCUGCCUGAGGCUCACCCCGCCCUUGCUGCUCUGCUCCGCAGGGGCUGGGCUGGAUCCCCCAGGCCAGCGAGCCCUGGCUGUAUUUCUCCCCUUGUGAAACUUGCUGGAGGUUUGUUGCCAAGUCUGUCCUGGCCAAGCACCUGCUCCCCUCAGAGCAUCACGCCCAGCUAGUUCCCAGAGGUGGCCGAGUGUUUGCUUUCAGGACACUCAGUGGUACUGGGAAAUGUGCGUUGACACAGGAGAUGUGAUGGGCAGAUGGGAAGAGAGGAAGGAGGGAUGCCACUACCCAGCAGGUUGCUGGGCAGUCUGUGGAUCCCAAGAUUGGGGUCAAUUCCUUGGGUCGGUCUCAAUGUUGUGGGAGGAAAACAUAAAGGAGCCCAGAGCCACUUCCUAAGGGCUCUGGAACCUGUCCAUAUGAAAUAGGCACCAACACUCAGCUGUGAUCUCUUUGAAUAUGACAAGGGUAAAUUCCAACUUUCCCUUUUCCAGGUUUAGAACACUUAAAUGCAUUUUCCUGAAGCCCUUCAGCCUCCAUCCAGUAGGAUGCCCUCCCAACUUCUUGCAGAGGCCCCAUUGCUGUCACCUUUCCAUGUGGCAGGCAGCUGAACUGUGUGCAGGGAUCCCCCUUGGAGAGGCAAAGCCUUUGAUGUGCAGCAGGCAGCAGACAGAUCUGAAGUAGUCAUCUGACUUCGGCAACUGGUUCGCUUUCCUCAUGGCAGGUGCACAAUGGGUCGUGUUUCUUUGUUGAUUCUGAAAUUAGCUUUGAGAAGAAUUCUGGAAGAGGGGAUCCAAAGCUAUGUGGAAUAAAAUCCUGGAAGGAAGUGGAGGGCCCUUCCCAGGCAGUGUGACUUUGGCUGUGUAAGUUCUGGUGAUUUUUGCGGGGAGACUCCAGGCUUAGGGUCACACCAACCAUGUGCACAGUCUGGAUUAUUGAGUUGAAAAACAUGAGUGCAUGCUGCAGCUGGUGCUACGGAGUCCCGUGGGCAGUUGUCCUGAGAGAAACUUGGAUACGUAGGGUGUGUGUGUGUGCGUAAGUGCUGUGUAUAUGUGUGCCCACAUAUGUAUGUGUGUUGUGUGCAUGUGUGUACAACUGUGUGUUUGUGUUGCAUGGGUGUGCAUGCCUGUGCAUGUGCCCUGGGAGGGUCAUCAGAGGGGUAGGAAGAGGACAAACAGGCCCCCAGAAGCCCUUUGCAGGAGGCAGUGAGCAGGCAGGAUUCCCAAGACCUAGCCCUGAUCCAAGAGGCAUUUGGAGGCCUCCCUCUGAGUCUUCUAUGAGCCUGGGUAAGCUGUGGAUACAUCUUCUCUGGUUUGAGAGAGAUGGGAGCAGAUGAGCCUUGAUGUAUUCCUGUGUGUGUUUACAACUCCUUGCACCAUCCAAUGACAAGCAGAUGCCAGCAAUGGUGGCCAAGUACUGGGGCCUCAUAGAGAUCCCGGUCUUCUUUGAGGCUGGUGCUGUGCCUGCUUUAUGUGCCCACGGACCUUCACCUGAACCUUUGGAGCCAAACAGCAUUUGGACCUGGACAUUUUUUGGAUUCUGGUGUGGAUACCACAUACCCUACAUCACCCCAUGAGGUAUGGGGAGAAUCCUAUAAGCAAAUGGGUUAGUGUUUCACAGUGAAACCAAGUCAGGUAAAUAAGGACACAAGGGCAAUCAGGUCAAGCUUGGCCUCCAAAUGGGUUGUCAAACAAUAAUCAGUUCUUGAAGUUUAUUGGGUUUUGAGUGACUGCUUAGCAAUUGUAGACUCGCAAAAGUCAACAAACUCAGUUGACUGAAGAAACCCAGUUGACCGAACCAACCCAGGUGACCCAAAAGUCAGGCCCCUUUUUGGCCAUCGGGUUUGGCUCUGCUUGCAGAUGGGCCCUGUGCCCUCAAGUGGGGGCUGGGUGGGGGACCCAAAGGCCAGCACAGUUGGAUGUUACUGGGAAGAGACCUAGGGGAGGAGGGACCUGAACAUUGGCUCAGGUCCAGCCUCUGCUAAGGUGAAUCACCCCUUGGAUAGUCUGGAGCCCCCAGGAAGGUCAGCUGGGGGCACGAGCCAGGACAACCAAGGGCAUUGAUCAGAGACAAGUGGCUCCAGUGUGGGCACCAAGUACUUAGAGUUCAUCUGCUCUGCCCAGGCAGUGCUCUGGGGGAAGAGAGGGGUGGCUCCUUUGUCAUGUGUCAUGCUGCCCUUUGUCCCAGUGGACCCAGCAGAGGCUGGACCUGGGACGAGCAGCCUAUGCUCAGGGGGAGGGGCAAAGGGGGAAGGCCAGAAGGGGAGCCUCCCUCCACAGUGCCCUGACAGGUAAGGGGCCACAGACGUGAGGGCUUUGUGAGUCCUGUAACUAGGAAUGUUGGCGCCAGCUGUCCUGCAUCCUGAGUGUGCGGGGCUAUGGGGAUCCAUCAUCCCACCUAUAGUGGUGAGAGGCGCCUCCAGGUUUAGGCCUGCUGCAGGCUCUCCUAAAUCUGAGAAAGGGUUUCCUAUCUACCCAGAAGAAAGGAAGGGCCCUAGAAUUAGCUUUAAAUUAAAUUAAACAAAAAUAACAAAACGUGAUGUGUUUGGCCUAAGAUUUAUACUCACUAUGUCCACCACUUUAGGUCUUCUGGGGAGACAGAGGCACUUAGGGCCAGACAUGUGGAGGGUGGACGGCCGCAGGCAGGAGCCUCUGGCGAGAGAAGCCUCUAGAGAUGCUCCUCAUCGUCCCUUCUGGGAUUUUUUUUCCUAGUUGGAGAUUUUUUUUUAAAAGAACUUGAAAAAUAAUUCUAAAAUGAAUGAUACACACACAAGAGUAUCUGUAACUUACAUAUACAUAGAAAUAGCAAUAAUAAAUGAAGACAUACCCAGGUUAGCAGUUAGAACGUUACCCUGACCUCUAAAUGGUCCCAUAAGAUUCUUUUUAUUUUUCUUUUUUUUUUUUCACUUUCAUUACAAUAAUCACUGGCCUGGAUUAUGUGUUAAUCAUUACCCUGUCUUGUUUAAAGUUUUACUGUACAUGUGUGAGUCGCCAAGCAAUA